GAUGAACGUUGGCGGUGUGCCUAAUACAUGCAAGUCGAACGGAGACAGUAGCAAUAUUGUCUUAGUGGCGAACGGGUGAGUAACGCGUUGGUGACCUGCCCCGAAGUGUGGAAUAACAGUUCGAAAGAAUUGCUAAUACCGCAUGUGAUCUUUGAGAUUAGAACCUCUUUGAUUAAAGGAUUUAUUCGCUUCGGGAGGGGCCUGCGUCCCAUCAGCUAGUUGGUAGGGUAAAAGCCUACCAAGGCUAUGACGGGUAGGGGACCUGAGAGGGUGGCCCCCCACAAUGGAACUGAAACACGGUCCAUACACCUACGGGUGGCAGCAGUAGGGAAUAUUAGUAAUGGGCGAAAGCCUGAACUAGCAACACCGCGUGUGCGAUGAAGGCCUUCGGGUCGUAAAGCACUUUUCGGGAGGAUGAGGAAGGACGGUACUCCCGGAAUAAGUCUCGGCUAACUACGUG
rnacentral:rRNA from 1 species